UCCUAUGAUGGCAUGAAAUCUUUGAGACCUGAUCUCUUUCUUCUGAUGAAAACUACAAGCAUGACUCUGAGGGC